CUGCUCCUUGCCCCGUACACUGAAGGCUUUGGAGGUGGUAGGCAGGCCACCCAAGAGAGGAGAUUGAUGUGAAGACUAGCUGGAGGAGCAUGGCGGUGAACACUUUGCUUGUUCUAUCACUCAGGAAGAGAAAGUGACAGUGAAGGCUUGGUAGGUAGCAGACAGAGACAGUGCACAUAAACAUAUAGGGAAAGACUGCUUGCUGGUCCUCGUGACCAGCUGAAAUCUGAAUGACGUCACUGACAGCACUGCAAAGGUGGAUCCUGUCAUUGAGUGACCCGUGGGGACAUUUUCCUCAUAUCUGCCUGGUUAUUUUCCUCUGCCUGGUGAUGGCGCUGAACCAAGCAGGCUUCAGACAUUGAAAAACAGAGCCAGGUAGGGUAGUGAGGCCUGGUGCAGUGCCUAACAUCCCUAGGGUUCAACCAGACUGAAGGGUCCACUUGUGGCACCUGGGCUCGCUGCAGCAUACGCUACAUUCUAUGUUUCCAUGACCAGAGCACAAAACGUCUGCUCCGUGAGAAGAUUGUCCUUGCACGCUGGUGUCAGAACUAGGUUUGCAGUGCUCGUAAGUCAAACUGGGGGGGUGACACCACUGCUCAGUGCAGACAGAAAUCAUUCUCUAGCACAAUGCAUGCCUCUGAAUAUUGUUUUGGUUUCUCCGAGCACAAAGAGUAUGUCCAGGGUGUUGUGAUCCCAGAGCGGAAUUUUUAGUUAUUGCAUGCUAAAACUCACCAGUUGGGAAACAGUUUAAUCAAAUCUGGUUUUCUCCAGUGAGAGGAGUGUAGGGAUGGACAAGACUUAAUGUGUGCUGGGAGGAGGUGAACGGGGGCAGUGAGGAGUUAGGUCUCCAUCCAUCUGAGUUGUAAACAAGGCACGUAGUCCACACUUACCUCCUGGACCACUUGUGUUCUUGACUGUCUCUAGAGAACUGGGUGCUUAGAGGAUGCCGGUAAUGGCUUUGUGAUUUUCAGAUGCCCCCUGCCAAGCCGAAGGCACAGCAAAUGUCCUACACACUUGGUAGAAUGCCUUCCCUUAAAAAUAAAAUCCCUGCCAGGCAGGGAAGCUUGCCUUCAAGAGUGCUGGCUUAAGAGGGGCUGUGACGGCAGAAGGGGGGCCAUGCCUGCUCUCUCCUCCACUGGUGCUCCCGUGUCAGUAAACCCAGGCGGAGGCUCCUGUCCCUAGAACAAACCUCUCGGGAGAUGCCAUGCGCGCCUUCUUGCAUCCUCUCCAGAGAUGCAUAAAAUGUUUUUACGUUAGAAACAUUCCUCUGGCAUACAAACAAGUUACUUUGGUCUGAUGGCAGCUAGCAUGACUUGAGAAAGUGAGGUCUUCUAGGUUUCAUACAGAGUAGGUGUAGAACUUGCCGGGACGCUGGUAGCCUGUGGUCAUUGGCAAUGACCUUGAGCGUUUUCUGUUAGAAACCCACUCACCGCACUGCAAGGCUGAGUAGUUCCGAGCAGUCAAAAGUGUGCAUCAGGCUACACAGGAACUAGCGUUCGGUUUGAUUAGGACUGUGUUCCAGUUGUUCGGUAUUAGGAGGGAAGCUAGCAGUGUGCUCUUCAUAAACCACCUUUCCCCAGGUGUCCUUUUUGCUUCUCAAGGUUCUGUUUUAGUAAGAACCUUCUGAACUAGCAGAGACCAACACUCUGUACAAAUGCUAGCCUUCUAAAAGGCACUGAAAUAAAUAUUCAGUGCUGGGCAAAUCGGAGCCCAGCUUUCCAGCCAGUACUUAUUUGUGUAAAAGUGAGAUUUCUCCAGAGAAGCAAAUCGGAAGGAAUAAAAACAAGGGGUUUUGUUGUUUGUUUCUAGGUUUUGUUUUGUUCUUGGAUGGGGAGUUUUUCCUGUGUGAUGCAUGUGCUUUCUUUGAGUUUGUAUUUCCUUUCAGAGAGCUCUCUUGUAAGUGACAAACUGUGAAAUGGGUUGCCAAAAACUGUGUCCUUUGUUAGAUGCUUCAAAGGGAACCGUGUAAAUUCUCUCUUCACCUUGUCCAUCUGCUUCCUCCUCCCUCCCAUGAGAGCAAGGACCACAUCCAAGGAUGUAAUUACCAUACACUUGCAAUUAAAGAGCCUUCCAGCCCUGGUGC
rnacentral:lncRNA from 1 species